UGUGGACAUCAUUGGGAAAUGGAGACAAAUUAGUAACUGUAUAGCUGCUGCUUGUUUAGUUCCAAGCUGACAUUCUAGGCAAGCUCGGCCUGAGCCUGCAUGUGUCUUGCUUUCUUCACGGCACAGUUCCUGCGACAGUGGAGACAUCAGCUUCUCCCUGGUUGGGACUGUUUGGGGGUGACGGAGAUGAAAUAGAAUCAAAACAUUAUAUACGACAUUGUCCUGGACUCCCCUGUCUUCAGCAAGAGCCUUCUCAUCCAACCAGCAAGUCAAAGAGCCUGAUGAGAAAAGUGGGGUCCAGGAGGGAAAGGGACAUGGCAGCAGUCUUCAGCCCUGGUGGAGGCACGGCAGAGCUCGGCUCUUCUGAUGUCCCUCCAACAUCUUUCCCAUCCUUUAUGAACUUGAUCUUCAGAAAGGAGACUAUCAGACGGGUAAGACAAACAUUAUUGUCCCACUUUACAGAUGAAGAGCUUGGUGCUCCAGUGGAUGCUUAGCGAGAGCCUCCUGUGUUCUGGGCCCUGUGCUGAGCCCAGGGGCAGAGCAUCAGACAAUGCAGACAGGAUCCCUGCCCGCGGGAGCAGGCGCACAGCACUUCACGGAGGAACUGGUAGGCUUAGCCAAGAGGCAGGGCGGCCUUCCCCGCGGGCCCAAGUAGGGGUUCCCACCUGCCAGGGUCUACUUCACCAGCAGGCAUAGAAUACAGAAGCACUUCAUAUGGGUAUAUUUUAAUCAGUACAUCAGUCGUAGAUCAUUGCAAAAGAAAAACAAAAUUGUCCUGCACUAAUUUGCCACGCUGUGAGAAAUGAUCUGAUGAUUUUUAUUUUGAUUAGUAGAUGGUUGCAACUAUAAAUCUUUUCCCUCAAAAUGGCAUCUGCACCUUUUGAAGGCUUAAAAAAAAACUUUAAGGUGAAAUUUGCAAAGGGAUGAGAGCAGAACUUCCCUGUGCCCCAGUGUCCUGCCCUGUGCUAUGCGUUGGUGAAGCCCGCACGAACCGCCUCCUAGCUCCCACGCGCACUCUGAGGCCAACAGACCCGCCUGGCAGCCAGCUGGAAGCUCAGAAAGAGCGGACUCUAAAAAUAUCGGCUUCUGCAGUUUCAACGCCGGGCCCAGGGGCUUCUAGAUUGACAGGUCCGUUUACCUACCAAUUAUUGGUUUAAAAAAAA